AACUCACAGUGUCACUCAUUCUUCUCUCUCCGCUCGCUCGCCUCUCGUCUGCGCUGCGCUCCCACCACAUCACAUAAUUCACAAUUUACUAAUACUUAGUUUAAUUAAUUAAUUAAUUACUUAAUAUCAUAGUUAGUUAGUUAGCUAUCACGUACUCUCCGCGUAGAAGGGCAGGAUUAGAAGAGUGUGACGUUUAUCUUAUUUCUGGGAAAGGAUUUUUCCAGCCUGUUUAUUAAUAACUACGAAAAAGUACGCAGUGGUUUUCGCAGGACGGUAUAACAAAGGAAGAUAAGAAGAGAAUAUUAUUUAUCUCGAAUAAUUAACUAAAAUGGCCGGACAAGUCGGUGUCCUUUGGAUGGGAUCGCUGGAGCCAUAUAUGGAUGAGAACUUCAUUCGUAACUCCUUCACGCAGAUGGGAGAAAUUAUUACGGGGAUAAAAAUGCUAAAGAACAAGUUUACUGGAGAAGCCGCUGGAUACUGUUUCGUGCAGUUCCAGGAUGAUUUUUGUGCCCUGACCGCGAUGCAUAAGCUGAACAAUAAAAUGAUUCCCAAUUCACAACCCCCAACCAAAUUUCGGUUGAAUCAUACAUCACUGGGAGGAAAACAGGCAAUGGACAGAGACUUUUCGCUGUGGAUCGGUGACUUGAGUCCAGAUGUGGAUGAUUAUACUUUAUACAAGGGAUUUGCGUCUAGAUAUCCAUCUGUGAGAUUAGCUAAAGUUAUCUUGGACACAAAUGGUUUCAGUAAAGGAUAUGGAUUUGUUCGCUUUGCGGAUGAAGAUGAGCAGAAGGACGCUCUGAUUCAAAUGAAUGGAUUUAAGAGCGUUGGGAGUAAGGCAUUACGUGUCAGUAUUGCCAUCAACCGUGCUGGAGGCCAGAAAACUAGCAACCCACUGCAAGGACAAGCUAUGGCUGCUGUUCAAGCUAUGUGGAGUGGACAAGUAGUCCCACAGACUGCUACGAGUCCUCCUCAUGUAGGACAGCAACAGGGUCAGGGCCAAGACUACAGUCAGUACUACGAACAAUAUUGGCAAAACUAUGCAGCAUGGCAAAAUUAUGGGAAUUAUUACGACCCAUCGUACAAUUACAAUCAACAUCAACAAGCCCCCAUGAUGGCACAGUAUGGAGCUGUUCAUGGCGCAAUGGGAAUGCCCGGCGUUGGACAAGUAGUUCAAGAUGAUGAGUACGACCUUGUUGGACUUUCAUCAUACAAAUCUAUACAUUAAAUGACUGACUGACAGAGCAUAGCCAACCGGUUGACGUCGGACGUCUCAACGCAGAAGUUAUUAACCGAUCCAACGAUCUUCUCGAUGCAAUGGAAGACUCACGAUGGCUACCUAAAGGAACUUUGGAAAUACCUAUUAACUACUAAUCAAAAUUCGGAACGCCUUUUCACCAGUGUCUAUCUGCACGCAUGAUAUAAAUGAAUAUAAGUACAUAGUUUCUCGUCUAAAGUUAGUUCAGCAACUUGCACGUCAACUUUUAAACGUAAAAAAAUAUAUAGCGUGUAAGAGUUUAGUUAUAAUUCAUUGUUGUUGUUGUUGUAAUUAUUAUUAUGAUCCAAUCUUUAUCGUCCUAAUUGUUAUACAUUGUGCGGUGGAUGUCGUCGUCGUCGUUGUAUUUUUAGCAGUGCGAACAGUUGAAAAAAAUAUUAGUAAUUUGUCAAAGUGUAAUCGUUUUUCAUCACUGAUGUACCAAACAAAAAUCGCAUUUAUCUUGAGAAUCAUAAAUAUGUAGAUAUAGGUACGAAUAAUUUAUAGAUUAUAAUUAAUUGUAAAUAUUUGUAUUAUUGCUGAUAUUAGGCGAUAAUCAUUUAGAUAAACAUGCUGCAGCAUGGAUUGUUGUGGGCCCACUCGCCAGAUACGCCAACUGAUCGUGUGUUACACUAUUCAUAAUAUGUUAUAGAUAUAUCCUUAUCUUUUUUCUCUACCCUCAUGGGCUUAUAUAAUAAUUAAGUACUGACGACAAACUGCAGAUUUUAAUUUGAUUGCUCAAAAUGUUUAGUAGAAUAGGGUUGGAUUGUUGAGGUUGAUAAAUCUAUAAAUUAUUAAUUCAUAUUCGCGUUAAAAAAAACUGCAUCCGUAUUUCUAAUCUCGUAGUUCUCUAACCUUCUAGUUCAGUAAAAAAAAGUUUUUGAUAAGACUGACAAUUAAUAUCCGAAGUACCUUUUUACAUAUUUUCACUUACAAUUCAUUAUUACAAUUUACACUAUACAACUUAAUUUCAUUACUCAUCAUCAGUCCCUUUCCUUUAUUGCAAACAAGUCGGUGUAAUUUUAAGGCGAAUCUAUUAACUGUAUGCACUGAAAUACACGCUGUUUGCUUGUUUAAAUAUUACCUACACAUUUUAAAUAUUAUUGUGAAAAGCUAACUAUUUCGGGUUUAUAUGAAAUUUCAAAAGUUACAAGUGAAUUAAUUUAAAAAUGGUAUUUAGAAAAAAAUACUUGGGCAAAUGCGCACCGUAUUGUCAAUCAGUUAUUGUCAGUUACUAAACUGCGAUAUUUAUGGCAAGGUAAUGACAGGCAAAGUUGUAUUGUAUAAUAUGAGAUAAAUAAGCUGACAGAGCUUAAGGAAUUUAUGAGUUUAGUAAAUAGUGGCUACUCUGUAUUUAAAGUGCUGGUAACUUGUAUAUAUUUAAAAUUAUUGAACGUGCACGCUACUUUUUUGAUCUAUGUAUGAAAAAUCGUAAAUAGCAUGAAAAUUCUCGUCCUCUUAAACACAGAAAACAAAGAAAAUCGUAGAAUCAGGUUAGAACUGAUUAAGGAAAAUUUGACAUUGUGUACUUUCAACUUAGCGUAUUUAUAAUUAUUAUUAUUAUUCCACGUAAUUCUGAACGAUCAACGAAUGAGGUCCAUUAAUUGUUCUUAUUAAAUGUGUAUGUAUUGUUGUUCUUCCACCAUUCCGAGGGCACACAUGCGUUAAUUAUUAAGCUAGCAUAAAAACAAUUUUUUGUAAAUAUACACAUACACAUUAUACGCAUGCAUUUCCUCCAAACCUUGAUUUGACCGAUUUCUCACUGACUGUAACAUGCUGCCUGAAAUUGUUGUUGGUAUAAAUAUAAAACUAUAUAGAACGUUUAAGACUGUAGUUAGUUCGUAAAUAUGAUAAAUAUGUGUAUGAUAUGAAUUUAGUGUGACGCUAUGUGAUAGCUUACCUGUUAAUAACAUAACAAUAUAUCAUUUACUAUUUGUAAUAUCGUGUCCCGUUCCUCUUAUGAAAUAGAAAUACAAUACGCGUGCAUGAAUGCAUGGGCGACAACUAUGUAUGAUUUAAAAAAAUAUUUAGUCUAGAGUUAAUUGUUUUUUUGUGCGAGUUAAUUUUACGACAAGUAACACUUGUUUGUUAUGCAUAUGUAAUAUAUAUUUAAAGAAAAAAAUAUUUAAUCGUUUAACAAGCUUCCUUGUUAUUAGUUGUUUUUUUUGGGACACGACAAAAGAAAAUGUUCACUAUUGAUAUUUAACAAACAAUUUAUUGUCGUAUUGUAAAAAUCACAUGAUGAGUCUUUAAAUUCUGAUUAUUAUACAUAAGUCCAAGUCAACUUGUCAAAUCAAAAUGGUGCCGUAAAUAGAAGUUGCUGUGUAUACCUUAUAAGCUAAUUUUGAAAUUGGAAUAUAAAUGGUUAUAAUUUGACAUCAUCUUCACUUAA